rnacentral:rRNA from 1 species
CCAAUAGCGUAUAUUAAAGUUGUUGCAGUUAAAAAGCUCGUAGUUGAAUUUCGGGAUUGACGCAUCGGUCGUGCCUUAAGGGGUAUGAACUGGUGUAGUCAGUUUCUCACCUUCUGGAGAACCGCGAUGUCCUUAAUUGGGUGCCGCGGGGAACCAGGACCUUUACUUUGAAAAAAUUAGAGUGUUUAAAGCAGGCAUUUUGCUGGAAUCCAUUAGCAUGGACUAAUAAAAUAGGACGGAUGGUUCUAUUUUGUUGGUUUCUAGGAUCACCGUAAUGAUUAAUAGGGAUAGUUGGGGGAAUUAGUAUUCAAUUGUCAGAGGUGAAAUUCUUGGAUUUAUUGAAGACUAACUACUGCGAAAGCAUUUGCCAAGGAUGUUUUCAUUAAUCAAGAACGAAAGUUAGGGGAUCGAAGACGAUCAGAUACCGUCGUAGUCUUAACCAUAAACUAUGCCGACUAGGAAUCAGACGAUGUUAAUUUUUUAAUGACUCGUUUGGCACCUUACG